GCAGUGGAUCUCUGUUCAGAGAGGGAGGAGGAGAGAGAAGGAGGGAGGGAAGAAAGGAGAGAGGGAGAGAGCCAGAAAACAGAGCAAGAUAAAGGAAGAGAAUGCACCUGAAAUAGACACAAGGAUAAAUGGAUCAAGGAGAGAGGAGAAACAGAUAAUCACAACAGCGAAUAUUUGUUAAAUGCAUGCUCUUUGCCAGGUUGGAAUAAAUGCAGAUGCUGCAAAUUGAUGGAGGCCUGGUGUCUUCCAGAGUGGAGGUAAAGGCUGGCUGAGGAAUCAGUGAGGCCAGGAAGAGGGCUCAGCUGAGCAACUGAUCAAAGCAUCCCUCUUCAGGAAGGAGCUUCCUGUGUUUUCUCUGGGAACUCACCUGUUUUCCACUCCAGACUCUCCAAGAUAUGCAGAGCUUUGGGCCAGGAUCCUACAGCCACGGGUCAUGCAGAGCCAGUUGGCCACAUCCUUUGGGCCAAAUUUGGUCCUAACCAGGUCUUACCACGGUAACUGCUAACCAGUCCAUCUUCAGUUAAUAUUUCAUGCGUAAGAUGUUUCAUGAAGUAACUGAAUGGGCUAAUGGGUUGUUCACUGGAUAAGACUCCCAGAUACUCCCUUUCAUGCCAUUCCCCAGAAUUCCUUCACCUCCCAGUGCUGUCUGUAAGGGUGAAGAUACUCCAUUUUGCCCCAUGCUCUUUGCUGUGCCCCAGAUAGGCUCAAACAUUUUUCCCUUUUGGGGAUUUUGCAGGUAGGAAUUGUUGAACAUCUUACCAUUUAAUCCAGAAGUUAUGUCCUUUAAGGAAUCGACCCUGAGCCUGUGAGUUUUACUUUGGGUUGGGGGUGAAGGAGUGGACCUUGCAGCAUUCAAGGUCAUCCAAGAUCAUCCAGUUAAGGCCCCUAAGGUCACUACGGGGGGAAAAGCCUGGUGAGGGAAGAGAAAGCAUUAGGGGGAGCUGCACCGUGCUGAGAAAUAACACCACACAGAAGUCUGUGUUCUAAUCUCAGCUCUGCUUUGCAUUACUGUGUGACCUGGAGCUGAUCACAGCCCUCUGAGUCUUAAAGGGGUUGGACAAGGCCAACUAAACAUUAGAAACACCUGAAAGUGCUGGUUAAAAGGAAGAAUGCAUGAGCUUCACUCCAGAUUUACUAUAUCAGAAUUUCCAGGGUCAGGGUCCAAGAAUCUGCAUGUUUAAUACGCUUUCCACAUGAUUUUUCCCCCCUCUGGACUUAAGAAAACAAUGGGCAAGUCAGCUCAUGAAGAACUUUUCAGAUAUUCAGACUAUUAUUCUGAGAGAGAAAAUAUUGGCAGAGAACAGAUGGGAUUUUUCUCAAGGAAAAGAAAUGGAAAUCCUACAUCUUGCAAGAAAUAGAAAAAAAUAAAUAAACUGUUUGAAGAAGAAUCACAUCAGGCUGGCAGGAGAGAGCCUGCGGCUCGGUGUCUGACCCAGAAUGUUAAAGCCAGCCUGGCUUGGCUCCAGGAUAAAGGACACUCUGUCAGCCUCUCCACAUUGAUUCAUCUCCCCAGCCCCAAGAUCAGGAGAGCAUUCUGUUCCUUGAAGCAUUUUAUGACUGUAAGUCAGAAGUGCUGCAGUUUUAAUAAAAAGCUGUAUUGUCCUGAUCUUGUGCAAUAUACUGAACUAUCAUUUUCCAACUGUUGGCUUGCAUACUGGUUUGUGUGAGUAAGCCCGUCCAUCCACAUCACUAAAAGAUAGUAGUAGUAACAACAAUGAC
rnacentral:lncRNA from 1 species